rnacentral:rRNA from 1 species
ACAUAACUGAUGCCUCCGCGUAUCGACUUUGUGCGCAUUUUAGCUAUUAUGUGUUCUUUUAAUUAAAAUGAUUCUUUUUAAGAUUCAUCUAUUAAAAAUUUGCUUCGGCAUAAUUUUUUUUGAUGAUCUUGUUACUUUGAGUAAAUUAGAGUGUUCAAAGCAAACAGAUAUAGCAUUUGUGCGUUUGAAUACUACAGCAUGGAAUAACAAAAUUGAACAAGUCAGAAUUUUUUUGUUCUUUUUUCUUAUUUUGGCUUAGUUACGAUUAAUAGGAGUAGCUUGGGGGCAUUUGUAUUCAGAUGUCAGAGGUGAAAUUCUUAGAUUUUCUGGAGACAAACAACUGCGAAAGCAUUUGCCUAAAAUACUUCCAUUAAUCAAGAACGAAAGUUAAGGGAGUGAAGACGAUCAGAUACCGUCGUAAUCUUAACCAUAAACUAUGCCGACUAGGCUUUGGAUGAAAGAUUUUAAAAUAAGGGUUUUUCUUUUCUCUCCGGAGAUUAGAACUCUUAGAUUGCUUCCUUCAGUGCCUUAUGAGAAGUCAAAGUCUUUGGGUUCUGGGGCGAGUAUUCGCGCAAGCGAGAAAGUUAAAAGAAUUGACGGAAGGGCACCACCAGGCGUGGAGCUUGCGGCUUAAUUUGACUCAACACGGGAAAACUCACUAGUUUAAGACAAGAGUAGGAUUGACAGAUUAAUAGCUCUUUCUUGAUUUCUUGGAUGGUGAUGCAUGGCCGUUUUUAGUUCGUGAAUAUGAUUUGUCUGGUUAAUUCCGAUAACGAACGAGAUCUUAACCUGCUAAUUAGCGGCAAAUACGAUAUAUUCUUAUGUAGAAUUGAAUAUAGUGGAUUUGUUAGAUUUUGAAGAAAAUAUUGGAAUUACGUUAAAUGUGAUUCCUUUCCCUUUUCUACUUAAUUUACAUUUCCAUCUAUUUCUUUUUUGCGUAUGAAUGUAUUUGCUUGAUUGUAAAGCUUCUUAGAGGAACGAUGUGUG